rnacentral:rRNA from 1 species
GUAGGUGGCAAGCGUUGUCCGGAAUUAUUGGGCGUAAAGCGCGCGCAGGCGGUUCUUUAAGUCUGAUGUGAAAGCCCACGGCUCAACCGUGGAGGGUCAUUGGAAACUGGAGAACUUGAGUACAGAAGAGGAAAGCGGAAUUCCGCGUGUAGCGGUGAAAUGCGUAGAGAUGUGGAGGAACACCAGUGGCGAAGGCGGCUUUCUGGUCUGUAACUGACGCUGAGGCGCGAAAGCGUGGGGAGCAAACAGGAUUAGAUACCCUGGUAGUCCACGCCGUAAACGAUGAGUGCUAAGUGUUAGGGGGGUUUCCGCCCCCCUUAGUGCUGCAGCUAACGCAUUAAGCACUCCGCCUGGGAGUACGGCCGCAAGGCUG